rnacentral:rRNA from 1 species
GAGUUUGAUCCUGGCUCAGGAUGAACGCUGGCGGCGUGCCUAACACAUGCAAGUCGAACGGGGCGUGCCGAUGGAAACUUUUCGGAGCGGAAAUUGGCGCUGCCUAGUGGCGGACGGGUGAGUAACGCGUGAGCAACCUGCCCUGCACUGGGGGACAACAGCCGGAAACGGCUGCUAAUACCGCAUAGGCGCACAGCCCUGCAUGGGGCGGUGUGGAAAGUAAUACGGUGCAGGAUGGGCUCGCGUCUGAUUAGCUUGUUGGCGGGGCAACGGCCCACCAAGGCGACGAUCAGUAGCCGGCCUGAGAGGGUGGACGGCCACAUUGGGACUGAGACACGGCCCAGACUCCUACGGGAGGCAGCAGUGGGGGAUAUAGCACAAUGGGGGGAACCCUGAUGCAGCGACGCCGCGUGAGAGGUGGAGUACUUCGGUAUGUAAAGCC